rnacentral:rRNA from 1 species
CAGUAGCCGCGGGAAUACAGAGGGUGCGAGCGUUAAUCGGAUUUACUGGGCGUAAAGCGUGCGUAGGCGGCUUCUUAAGUCGGAUGUGAAAUCCCUGAGCUUAACUUAGGAAUUGCAUUCGAUACUGGGAAGCUAGAGUAUGGGAGAGGACGGUAGAAUUCCAGGUGUAGCGGUGAAAUGCGUAGAGAUCUGGAGGAAUACCGAUGGCGAAGGCAGCCAUCUGGCCUAAUACUGACGCUGAGGUACGAAAGCAUGGGGAGCAAACAGGAUUAGAUACCCCGGUAGUCCCUGUCUCUUAUAC